rnacentral:misc_RNA from 1 species
GUGGCACUCUUUUUAAGCAUGGCAUCUUCAAGGUCUUUUGGUGUUAUUAAUCCUUCAGAAAGAAAAUUCUCCCCAUGGUGUUUACACUGCUUAAAUAAGCCAUCAAGCAGCGCAAAUGGUUUCAGAUCGAGCAUAGGUGUUAGUGAAUCUGCACGGUUGAGACGAUUUCGAAAAGAAUUACGCUUUGAAAAAGAGGAUGCACGAGAUGCACUCUUUGUCAGUUCAGCUUUUUGGUACCUUGGCCUCGGAAAGCAAGAUCCUUCUUGCAUGUCCAAAAUGUCAUUGCUGUAUUCAUCAUAAAUAGCCCAGGAUGCAACAAUAUAGCAAAGCCCAAACCAAAAUGAGGAUUCCUGAUAAACUACCACUCCUGCAUAAGCACCAAUGAAGAUACUGGAUAACAUGGAGCCCAAAACUGCCCCAACAACAGCCAAUGGCCAAAGAAGAAUAGCAAGACCUGCAAAUGGCACACAUAUUGUCUCCAAGAAAGGGCCUUCCCUUCCUAUAAGAUCAUGAAACAGACGAUGCCAUCCCUUAAAGAGCAUGUACGGACUUUUGCAGAGGGCAAUAAGUGAAAUAAGCGGAAAGUCGAGCAUGAAACCAAGUAAACCAGCAAUAAUAGCACCAGGAAGAUAAAGCAAUC